rnacentral:misc_RNA from 1 species
GAUGAAGAACGCAGCGAAAUGCGAUAAGUAGUGUGAAUUGCAGAAUUCAGUGAAUCAUCGAAUCUUUGAACGCUCAUUGCGCCCCUUGGUAUCCCGAGGGGCAUGCCUGUUCGAGCGUCAUUUCACCACUCAAGCCUGGCUUGGUGUUGGGCGACGUCCUCUUUGGGGACGCGCCUCGAAACGCUCGGCGGCGUGGCACCGGCUUUAAGCGUAGCAGAAUCUUUCGCUUUGGAAGUCGGGGCCCCGUCUGCCGGAAGACCUGCUCGCAAGGUUGACCUCGGAUCAGGCAGGGAUACCCGCUGAACUUAAGCAUAUCAAUAAGCGGAGGA